GACCCAGUGGUGAAGUGGUAUCACGUCCGCAGAGUUUGUACAGUACGGUUAUUGUCCUGUGGAAGACACUCGUUCGAUUCGGGUCUGGGCCA